UACCGAGGGGGCAAGCGUUGUUCGGAAUUACUGGGCGUAAAGGGCGCGUAGGCGGCCUGCUAAGUCGGACGUGAAAUCCCUGGGCUCAACCCAGGAACUGCGUCGGAUACUGGAUGGCUUGAAUUCGGGAGAGGGAUGCAGAAUUCCAGGUGUAGCGGUGAAAUGCGUAGAUAUCUGGAGGAAUACCGGUGGCGAAGGCGGCAUCCUGGACCGACAUUGACGCUGAGGAGCGAAAGCUAGGGGAGCAAACGGG
rnacentral:rRNA from 1 species